ACUGUCCUCCCAUGCCGACAUAUGGUAAACAGUAAUACUGAUACUUUUUCUAAAUUUCAUGUCCCUUUCAUUUUUAAGAAAAUUACAAGAUGUUCUAUUGAUCACAUUUAGACAAUAAAGACACCAAAUUUUCAUCUCUCUUGAACUUCAUUUGUUCCAAUCAGCACUUGUUUUCCUGUGGUCUUGUCUGUGACCAGAGUCGGUAUGGCCUCUGGCCUUUGAUGCUUGUGUUGACUGCGUGACUUCCUCCAUGCCUAUAGGGAAGUUAACAAAUGUUCUUGAACUUAUAUUAAUGACAAAAUUGUUAGGGCUUUUGAAAGACUAAAUUAUUAUUUAGUCCUUGUAUUUUAAUGAAAUUAACUAUUUGGUUUCUGUAUUCUAAAAAAUACACUAUUUAGUCCCUAU
rnacentral:misc_RNA from 1 species